rnacentral:rRNA from 1 species
UACGGAAGGCAGCAGUGGGGAAUAUUGCACAAUGGGCGCAAGCCUGAUGCAGCCAUGCCGCGUGUAUGAAGAAGGCCUUCGGGUUGUAAAGUACUUUCAGUCGUGAGGAAGGUGUUAAGGUUAAUAACCUUAGCAAUUGACGUUAGCGACAGAAGAAGCACCGGCUAACUCCGUGCCAGCAGCCGCGGUAAUACGGAGGGUGCGAGCGUUAAUCGGAAUUACUGGGCGUAAAGGGCACGCAGGCGGUUAAUUAAGUUGGAUGUGAAAUCCCCGGGCUUAACCUGGGAAUGGCAUUCAAGACUGGUUAGCUAGAGUCUUGUAGAGGGGGUUAGAAUUCCAUGUGUAGCGGUGAAACUGCGUAGAGAUGUGGAGGAAUACCGGUGGCGAAGGCGGCCCCUGGACAAAGACUGACGCUCAUGUGCGAAAGCUGGGGAGCA